CAAGCUCCCCAAAUUCCAACAGGUCCUUACUGCCAAACAUCCAUCGAUAAUAUAUACCUGCAUUUACAGUUGCUUGUCUAUAUAUAUACAUAUAUAUCUUUUGUCUACAUUUCUGUGUACAAAACUGAUCAAUUCCCCUUCCUAAAGUCUAUAUUUGACUAUAUAUAUAUAUACAGCCAUGCAGCCAUAUGUGUGUUGCCGUGCGUCUGGAAAUUUAGGCAUAUGCUCAUGUGUGAAACUGCAUAGGACUACAAAUACGCUGAAAAGUCACACGCUCACGAUGCACAGUUCUCCUUUCUUUGAACAUCUGGAUAUCUGCAUAAUGAUCUACGCAUACGCAUAUAUAUAUGGAUGUGUGCUAGUGUUUUUCUUUGUGUCUCCUGUUAAGAGGCUCUCUGUUGGUGUUCAGUCGUCUUCUGUCGCCGAGGCAUAGAGAGGGGGAUAUAAAAAUAUGUAUACAUACUCAUGUGACAUGUGACUGCAGGCAUGUCACUCCGUCUUCCCCGUGCUUCUUGCUGAGAGUGUUUGUGUUUGUUUCAGUUUAAAACUUUGUUUGCGUCAUCGGAGUGUAUCUUUCGUGUUUUUAACAAGACUGCAUCGGGAAAAUGUUUUCCUGAUGCGGAUUUCCACUUCCGUUUCUGAUCCUUCACGGCAGUGUGCGUGAUCUAGAAGGCUGAUGCUGGUGGUCUUCUCUCUAAAAAAGUAAAAAGAACAUUUCUACACAAAUCAUCUCAAAGCACGAACGCCGCUUCCCCCAACUGCCUAAAACGCCCGGAGAAGCGCAAAGUCUCUCAUCAGGAGGCACAAGAACAGAGUACCACGUUGACAUUCACUUACUACAGGC
rnacentral:lncRNA from 1 species